UACGGGGGGGGCAAGCGUUGUUCGGAAUUACUGGGCGUAAAGGGCUCGUAGGCGGCCAACUAAGUCGGACGUGAAAUCCCUCGGCUUAACCGGGGAACUGCGUCCGAUACUGGAUGGCUUGAGUUCGGGAGAGGGAUGCGGAAUUCCAGGUGUAGCGGUGAAAUGCGUAGAUAUCUGGAGGAAUACCGGUGGCGAAGGCGGCAUCCUGGACCGGCAUUGACGCUGAGGAGCGAAAGCCAGGGGAGCAAACGGG
rnacentral:rRNA from 1 species